UCCACGUGGAGCUUCCCCGCCGGUGCGCGCCCAAAUCCUGCUGCCUGCGUAGGCUCCGGGCAGGCAGUAGGCACCCAGGGCAGUAGGCACCCACCCGCCAACGCGUCGGUCCUCUUGCGGUGGAUCCGGGCAAGGUCGGUGUAGCACGGUGGAGGCCCAGUUCUCACUGUCCGGGAGCCUGGUGGGAUGCUGCCUUCUGACCAGUCCGGCUGUCCUCCCUCCCCACGCCCCAGGGAGAGCUUCCUCUGUUGUUGGGACUUGGAUUUAGCUCAGGGCCUAAGGCCCUCCUGCGCAGAGUUGGCCAGCCCAGGGAGACAGACGUGCAGUGGUCUUCUCUUGGCCAGGUACUCUUUUGCACUGGUAUUGGCUAGGCUGUCUUCUGCCCUGGGUCUCCCUAAAGCCAAUGACCCUCCAGAACUGAGCCCUCGAUUCUGAUCGCCAGACUCCAGAGGUCCAAAGCCAGGCCUGUCUAGGUGAUGCCUCCAACUAGGGCGGAGGGGGGCUGGUCACUCAACCCUUCUGAACCUUGGUCACUUAGUCCUUAGGCAGCUCCAAGGAGCAGCCUGUAGUCGUUACUGUCAAGUCAGCAGCAACCGGGAUUUGUGGAGAGUUUAUGACCUUCAUUGUUUUAAUCCAGGAGACUGUCACUUUGAUCAGCUCAGAACAUUUCUUCACUUGGGAGCUAGCAAGGACUCCGGAGUUCCUGCUUCUUCCAUUUUGAUUCCUGACUCACCCUCUCCUAGUUCAUCUGAUUCCGUUCCUCAAAUUACCUUUCCAGCGAAUACUACAGACAGUCAGCACAGAACGGAAACACGAGGAGGACUUCUCAUAAGGAGGGCUUCAGUGCCGUUUGUUUUCAGUCCGAAAGAGGACCUCGGCACUUCUAAAGCCACGCUCUAACUUUUAAGUGGUUCUUUCAUGAUCACUUGUCCCAGGGUGGAUAUUUUAAUUUUUCCUUUGUUUUUGAAUCCAUCAGAACGAAGAAAGAAAGACAUCCUGCAAGCUAACUCUCUGUGAUUGUGACUGAAAUUCUUUAAGUGGGGAGAAAGCAUUUUGCUGAUACUAAGUAUUAAACACCAAGUCCGAAGUCUAGAGCAGUAUUAACUUGUUUAAGAAAGCAAUGUUUUCUCAAAUAUGUAUAAAAUAGGCCAUGUUGUUAGGAUAAUUGUUAUUCUUAGUUACUAUGAAUGCCAUUAAGAAUUUUUAAGCAUCCAAAAAAAAAAAAACCCAGAAAAAUUCUUUUCUGAGCUUGGAUAUGGGAGACAGAACAUAGUGGGGGGUGGGGGAGAAGAAGAGGACAGGGCUGAAACAGUCAUCUCUUUGAGAUCUACCAAGAGAAAUCUUGAUGGGCUACUGAGUGAGGAUCCCAGCUUCACACCGUUCUGUGUGUCGUUUAGUGCACCCUUUCAUUUGUGAAUAGGAUCUGUAUCAAAACCCUAGUGUGACCACGACAAUUGGGUAAUCACACACAAGGCAUCUUUGCUAAUGGAGAGAUUCUGUAAAUAUGUUUCUAGUGAAUGCAGAGAUAACAGUCCCAGUGAGAGGGUCAGGUGCCACAAAUCAUAGACUCCUCUGCCAAGGGUUGCCAGCCGUCUGAGGUUUGGAGGGACGUUAACUGCCUCUGCAUUCUCAGAAUACUCUCCUCCGUUUGUGAUUUCUCUGACUUGACCCUACUUCUGUCAUUAAAAAGCUGGCAGGCACAGUCAAGGGCAAGCAGGUUGGCUACCUACCCUUCUGGCAGCUCUCCAAUAGUCCCAUUUAGCUGCCAGGAGACAGAAAGAGGAGUGAAUCACUCCUGUCAUCCUGAAGUAGCAUCUAGAACAGACCAGGAAACAUCCAUGCGGUUUGCAGGUCCACCAUAGCUCCUGUUUACAUCUUCCACCUCAAAUUCGGAACAGACCCCUGGGAUAUUUCUUGGAAAGAGCCAGAAGGAAAAAGACAAGAAGUGACUUAGAUAAAGAAAUUCUCCAGCAGUUCCUUGGGCGAGGAAGUUGUGUUCUACUAGACAGCCUUAGUUUUGAAAAGUACCACAAAAGCAGGAUUCUCAUUACUGAUAGAGGCAAAAUCCAGGAAGUCCCCUCAUUAGAUAGUGGUGAAUACCGAAGAGGAAAUCAAGUACUGUCAGUGAAAUUUGGAGGAGUGUUAUUUCAUGUCAGUGGAACACAUUUCUGACUUAGAGCAUUUGCUUUAAUAAAGGUUUUUCCCCCUACUAAAUCCAUUAGAGAUUAGGCAUUGAACUUUCAGAGAAACGUGAAAAUGGGAUUAUAUCGAAAGUUUUUUUUUUCCUACCUCAGGUUGAAAUAAGCUACUAUUUGGCACUCCAGGGGCAUUGUAAAAUCAAAAUACAUUUAAUCUCAAAUAUCAGUGUUCUCUGUGUGAGGCUACAACAUGUAGGAGUGUGUCGUGAAGGAGUUCUACAUGGGAAAUAAGAAUGUGAAGGUCCUCUUGGUUGGGAAGAUAGGCCCCCUUUCUCAUAAUCUCAUUUUGGAAGUAGUUUGGGGACCUAAAAUGAGCUAUUAUCACCAAAGGUAAAGCCAUAACUUGCUAGUAGGUACCAAGAAAAUCCCAUGGGCUUCACUGAAUUUUUUUCCCCCAGGGAACUUGCCUGCAUGAGAAGGCUUGUAAGACUUUUGAACAGAAAAGAAAGGUACAAUUCAUUGAAGUGUGAGUGUUCGGGAGAGCUAGCAAAAUGUAUUCUUUAAAUAAUAUUUUCUAAUAUUCUAAGGGGGUCUCUAGAUGUAAAAUGUAAAAAACUCCAAAUUUAAUUUUCCAAAAUUAUACUACCAUAUUAGUAUAUUCUUAAAGAACAGAGAUAGACAUUAGUCAGCUACAUUACCAAAGGAGGAAAAUAUUUUAAAACCAGAUGACAGAUUUAUGCUUUAUAACUUAAACAAUACUGAAUGAUGAAUAGUCUUCCAUGUUCAUUAAGCAGAAAGAAGAGAGAAUGUCUGUAAAAGUGAAUAAAAGAGAUUUAUUGAACAAAUAUGCCUAACCUCCAUUUUAUAAGCUGAUAAUACAAAUUAUUGUUGGCUCUUGCUCCAAGAGCCAUCUUAAUGUAACAAAUUCAUCUUAGAGCCUUAGUAAAGCUGAAGUCCCUUUGGAACUUUGUGAGGAAACUUCAAAUGGCCCCACCCAAGUUGAAGACAUUUUUUUUCUUGCUUACUAAAUUAUAAAGUUGAAUUUUUUGCUCAAGAACAUUUUCCAGCUUGACUUACACUUUCUGACAAGUUUUUCUUUCAAUAUGACAGAGAGCAAAAGGCAAGCAGGAAACUGUAAGUCUAUUAUGACUUAGGUGGUCACAUUCCAUAUCCAUAAGUUCAAAGUAGUAAAACAAGCAGGUGUUUUUUUCUUUAUGUGCCUCCUGUUUAUACCUUGCAUAGUGCCUUAUACACAGCGUUUUCUGAACAAACACUUUUUAGCUCAGUUUGUGAAAUAUCCUUAUUAUUUCUAUUGUAAUUCUUAUUCGUAUCUUCUUCCUCCUCUUCUUCCUCCUCUCCUUUUUUCUUUGAGGCAGGGUCUCACUAUGUAGCCCUGGCUGUCCUGGAACUCAUUAUAUAGGCCAGGCACACCUCAAACUCACAGAGAUCCGCCUGCCUCUGCCUCUGCUGGGACUAAAGGUGUUACUCACUAUGCUUGGCUAUGAUAUAUUCUUCUUUUAAUGCUAAUGAAACAGAGUUCUAGGUAGUUUCGAUAACAAACAAACAUUUGAAAAUGACAGGGAAAAAGGCCCAUCCUUUGCCAAUUGGUAAGAGAGAAUUCUGGUAUUUUCCUAUUCGAAUCGUGACAGUGUUAUUAUUAUUACAUUAUUUUGUUCGAAACAAACAUGAAAUCCCAGAUGCAACACACAGUGAAUUUAAAGAAGAAACAACUUUGAAAACCGUAAUCUUUCGCUACAUUUCAGAUGUAAACCCACUAGAGAACAUCCAUCAUCCAAGACUUUACCAUCCUAAAGACGGCCUUCUUCUGAAGUGAUAACAGAACUAAACACUAUUGCUCCUUAUGCAAUAGAGUUGGAAACUGAUUGGCAUGGCCUCCCAAAAAAGAAUUUAAAAACUAGUGCUGAUUGUUAAUCAUAAUCCCACAUAGGGCUGAUUUAGGAAGGCGGCCCAUCGAGGACCACUGAACUGUGUUCCUAACUUCCGUCCCUCAGUGAGUGCUCCUCACAUUUUAGUGUGUAGCUUGGGGGCACACUGGAGUCAGUGGAGUGAAUAUGGUUGGUGGGUGGGAUCGUGAGUGCAGAAGUGGUCUUAAGCCUGAGAUACUCUGUGCCUUCUCUCAGCCCAGUGAGCCACUGGAUGGCCUCUUCUUUAUUAGAGGACCUGGCUCAAGAUUAUUUACAGUUUUGAAGGGUGAAAAUGAGGGUAUCAUUCCAUGUCACCGUUUAUUGAUGAACAUGAGAGUGUCAUUUCAAGUGGGAAAUAUGUUUAUGUACCGAGGAAAUCCCUAGCUUCCCUGGGCAAUCUCUCAUAGCAGACAUUUGUAUCUAGGCAGUGUUUAUUGAUCAAGAUGGGCAAGACUGAAUAGAGUCAAAGUAAUAGUGACAGCAUCCCAGAAACAGGAGAUCUUAUAUUUGCAUUCCACUCCUCUAAACCAGAGAGUCCUCUUUUAAAGCACUCACUCAGUGUAAAGGUAAUGUUGAUAUCUAAAUAUGUGUUUACAGCCUUCAUGGAUUUCAAGUGGUCUUUCAAGCUGUAUUCCUAGUAAGAAAUGGAAAUGGUGGUACAUUUCUGUAAUCUCAGCACUUGGGAGGCUGAGGAAGGAGGGCUAGGAGUUCAAGGUCAACCUCAGCUACAUAAUGAGCUCAAAGCCCUGUCUAAAACAAAACAAAACAAAACAUAUAAAAUUUAAAAAAUAAGGGAAAUCUCUUUAUUAAUGUCUAGAACAAAUAGUGGCCCAUUCUUUACGCAAGAAUUCACUCUUCAUUCACAUGAAGGUAAGAUGUUGGUAUUUCAAACCUGAUAUCAAAGUCAAUUCACUACCAUGAGAGAAUGAUUUAAAAAUUCUUCUUGGGGAAGGAGUUGAUAGAAGCUCAGACCAAAUUGCUUCAAAUAUCCUGUUGUCAACAUAUAUCCGGUUUAGAGAUUAUAAUGGAAAAACUAGGGAUAGGAUACCAAGACAAAGGUGCUGAGAUAAAGUACAGUAGUCUAUUUAUUGAUUCAUUUAUUCAGUCAGCAAACAUUCAUUGAGUGCUCACCCUAGGCAAAGCACUAACCUUGGAGAGAAAGGUAGGUCUUUGAUCUCAAAGACACUGUGUGGGAGAAGAUGGAUUUUUUCUUUUUUAGACAGAUAAUUACAGUUCAGUGCAAAAGGGAGUCACUCAAAGUCCAAAAUGCAGUAGUACCUCAGGGGAAGAUGUACCUUUGUCUGGCAGGAGGAGGAAAAGUGAUGUUUGAGCUCACUCCUAAAGGAAGUAAAAGGUAUUCUAGGUAGAGGAAACAGUAUUCACAAAGCCCAGAGGUGAUGGGGAAGGCUGCCAUUGCCAGAGAAUCAUACCUGCUUUGUAUUACUGGAGCAUAAACUGUAAAGAGAAUGUUGGAAGAAAAACUGAGGGGUGGGUCCAAGUUAAAAGUUAAAGACCUUAAAGAAGUUAAUAUUUUAUCUUGUGUACCAGACCAAAAAGCCAUUGUAAACAUCUGAACAUAGAAGCAUGUUCUAGGAAAGCCAUGCUGUCCGAAGAAUAGAAAAUACAGAUUGAAAAUAAGAGCCGGUGAGUAACAGUAGUUUUCACGGCUGCUGUUGUGGUGUAAGGGUGCUAAAGAGAAAUAAACUUCAUUAAACAGAUCUGCUCCCUGGAAGCAUGGCAAGAAUGAAAGCAAAAAGAUAUUUUCUAGAGAAAUAGUCUUUCUUUUUAAAAAGAAAAUGACUUCUCACACAUUGCAGUGGUUAAUUUUGGUGUGACCUGUAUGUACCUUUAAAAUGCAUGCAUUGUUUUACUUAGGUGAUUGGCAAGUAACUGAGUGGAAGUUUCUAUUACUGUAGUGGAAGACGGUAUAGUUGCAGAAAGAAUGCUACCCGAAGCCAACUGACUUGCCUGCCCAUCUCAUGUUUUAGUCUUUGAAGGACUUUGAGGAAGUUGCUGUAUCUCCCUGAGCCAUCCUGUCCCUCUUUGUAAGGUGAAGAGCACAGUGUAAAGGACCCUGGACUCACAACUUUUUCACUCACUAAUCGCUCCUAAUGUUUAUUUCUUACUUCAUCUUGGUACUUUUUAUUUACUUAAUUUUUUUUUUCAGUUUGAAGAGGAAUAGAAGUAUUUCAGAGAUAACCCCCCCACACACCAGGGUGUCAUUUAAGCACAAUUUCACUUUUGUUUCUCCACACUUAACUCGCUUAGCCUUCUCCCAGGCAGGGGUGAGGAUGCUGGUUGUUUGGAAGCAUCAGGCUUACUGCUCACAUGAAUCACAUUGUAUCUUCAGAUGAGCCAAAAGAGGAGUACUAUUUAAUCGCUUUCUGGGCCUACUCAGCUAAAUGGACAAUUUAAGCUCUAAUAUUUCGGUUAUGGAUUUUCCUGUCCAAAAUGAUUCUGUUUGACUCAGGUCAAAUAAUUGCAUGGUCUUAGUAAAGGUAGUGUUGUAAAAAACUGAGGUCCUUGAAAUGACUGAAAGUGUGCUGCUUCUAACAACAGCUCCUUAUUUAAACUUGUGUAUUUCUUUGGAAACUUCCUGUUACUUAAUGCUUUUUCCUUCCCACUUAAAGGCUGUUUACUCUAUUCAUGUAUCUUCUAGUGCUCCUGGAGCUUCGUGGGGUUUGUACCUACAAAACAUCCCAGCAGAACCAUUAGUAGGCUGCAAAGACAUGCAGGGGUCCCAGGGCAAAUCAAAAUGUUUUUUAAUGUAUGACAUGUUUGAAGUUGGUGAAAAUUCACGACUUCUCUCCAUCAGGCCUGUCUCAGAUUAAGUCACCAGACAAAGAUUUACUCUCCAGCUCGGCGAGAGGGUGCAUCUGUGACCCUUAGCAAACUUACCCUUCAGAUCACCAGCCUCAUGACAAAUAUUUUAGUUUGGAUAAUCAUUUCACAAAUAAUAACAUAAAGAUACAGGACAAGGAUGAACUGAAUGGCUCCAGUUAUCAGGAUGUGAAAGUCUACAUCAGAAUCAGUCUACUUGGAGCAUACUCUUCUUCAGCAAAGCAGGUAUUUGCAUAAGGUGGAAUUGUCUUUUCUUGGUCACUUCUCCCUGACCUUGCAAAAUAUGACACAUUUCUUCCAUUAUUUUAAGUAAAUUGCUUUGGAGUCUUUGCAGGAAACAACAGAGGAACUAAAACAUGUUUUUAAAAGAUGUGCCCUGGUGAGCUGAGCCAUGGUGUGUGCACACCUUUAAUCCCAGCACUCAGGAGGCAAGAGGCAGGUGGAUCUCUGUGAGUUCGAGGACAGCCUGGGCAACACAAAGAAACCCUGUCUCAAAAAACAAAACAAACCCCCAAACAAACAAAAACCAAAAAUACGUGCCCAGACUGUUUCCUGAGGCAUUUGGAAGUGCUUGGCUACAUUAACAUGGGAUACAGAAUUUGAAUGGAUGAAGAAGCUCUAAGCAGAAGACAGACAAGCCCUGGAUUUUUUUUUAAAGAUUUAUUUAUUUAUUAAUGUAUAUAGUGUAAUGUCUGCCUGUAAGUCUACAGGCCAGAAGAGGGUGCCAGAUCUCAUUACAGAUGGUUGUGAGCCACCAUGUGGUUGCUGGGAAUUGAACUCAGAACCUCUGGAAGAGCAGUCAGUGCUCUUAACCUCUGAGCCAUCUCUCCAGCCCCAAGCCCUGGAUUUCCUUACUUAUCCAUAAACCCAUUGUCUGUUUUGAGCAGGUCUAGGGGAAAGAAUACUAUACAAAGUUCUCAAAGUGGCUAUUUCUCGUGAGCAGGGCACAUCUUAAGACAGGAGAAGAGUGUUAGGAGGCGAGCUCAGCCUUCAUUCUAAGUGACUCCCUCAGGAUCCCCAUGUGGACUCAUGAUUUGCCCAUGCCUUGAGCUAACCUGUUGAAGCUCCCAAGAUGAACCAUGUGAAUGUUCUCUUCUUCAAGCUUUAAAUAAAAGUCUUACGCUGAGUUGCAGAGAAGAGGAAUUAGCUACCUUACCACCAAGACGCUGCUCUUCUCAAUAACAAUGUGCUCCACAAAUUUCUCAGAACAUCACAUUAAGGUGAUUUGGGGAGAGGUAUUGGGAUGAAAUUAGAUCUGGAGAAUUCUUUGGACUCUUCCAUGAACUGAAAUUAGGAUAUUUUACAAGAAGAUCAUACAGAAUUUUAAAAAAAAAUGGGAAAAAGAUGCUGAUGACUUCAUGAUUGUAAAUGACAUUGUCAAAUGAAUGUGAAAAUUCAAACUCGUCACACAAGUCACACAAGGACACAAAUGAGGAAAACGCCAGGUCCCUGUCUGUGUCUGCAUUGGGUCUCCUCACUGCUACUCUCCUGGCUUUUCAGCUUCCCUGCCCUGCCCCAGCACUCUACCUAACAGAUAGGCUUGGUUUUCUAGGACACUAGUGUGGAUGGCUGGGGGGAUGGAGGUCAGUGAUCAUAAAGAUGAUGACUCCUGUUUCCUUCCUUGCGCUCACCCCACCGAAUGCCACCACCACCUCUCACAAACGUGUGUUUCCCAGUCGUAUGAGAACUUCAGAUGUGAUAAAAUGUCCAUGGAGCUUAUCCAGCCCACAUCUCGUGUUGGUUUCUUUUCAGGAAAACUAGUGGUACAUUGUUUUAUUUUUAUGAGCUUACCGUGUAAAUGCGAGACUGUUAAGUGAGUUAUUGCCAGCAAUCAGGACCAUUUGUUACAUAACAUCAGUAAGAGGGACUCAGGUGAGAAACAACUCUGAUUGUAGGUGUUUAGUCCCAAUGUACAUCAGUUGUAACUCCUUAAAUGUAUUUCUUCUAGCAGCUAAUUUGAAAUACUUUAUCAGUGAAAGUCUUAGCACAACAGUUAUACAAACAUACAUAGAAAAACAUGAGGAAAUUAAAUCAGACUUAUAAUGUAAACCUUAACAAAAUGAUGGCUUAAUUUGUACUCACUUUGUAAUUUUAACUAAAUAUUGUGGUAAGUAGUUCUUACUUAAAUCCUAAGUAUAUGGGCAUUUAUUAUACACAAUAUGAAAAUACUUCAAGAGGCUUGUGAUUAACGCUGUGGUAUUCAAGCAUUAGUUUACAGCGACUUUCAAUCAAAGACAAAAGGUUCAAGCAGAUGAUGAAACACGUUAAAAAGAUGUAUGUGUACACCCAAGGACUUAAUUCAGACCUGCUCACAGUAACUCAGUUCGAGUUUUUAUCCACAACAAGUAUCCCUGGAGCUUGACACAGGACUAUUCUUAGGGCAGAGUGGCCAGACAAAGUACAAGAUUACCUAGUUAACUUUCAUUUCAGAUCAGCAAUGAAUAUUUUUCUUAUAAAAUUAUAUUCCAGACAUUGAGUACAGUAUGCUAUCCCCAAAGGGCAGUUAUUAGAAAAUCAACUAUCACUGAACACCUUGCAUGAUUGUUCUUUUCUAGACAUGGCAACUGUACCCUAAGGGUUCUGAAGAGUUCUUACCUAUCUCCUUCCCUGACUUCCAUAGCUUAACUUGAGGUCUCCCAAUCAUGCAGCCAUUCACUUGAACAUGUAUGUGCUCGUUUUUUUAAAGGAUGAUGCCUGAAAGACUGGAAACCCCCAAAUCCAAAUGUCAGUCAAGCAUGGUGAUCCGACUUAUAUUAUAUACUGAUUGCUAUGUUUUGCAUGCAGUUUGUUCCCCAGUGAUCACAUGGUGGAAGCCCAUUCUUCACUGCCGCCAGGGAAGGGUGGUGGGGUCUUUAAGAAGUAGGACCUCAUGAGAGGCUGUUAGGUCAUUGACUGUAUUAUUGCUUAGAUGGGAUUAUGACAGUUCUUAUGGACUCUGGGUUAAUUCUAGUGAGAGUGAGUUAUUGUAAGAGCAAGACCAACCUCUGAGCUCUUAAAUUGCUCUAUAACUUCCUAUCCUAGGGUACCAUCUCCUUUCUUCAGAAGUGGUCUCACUAUUUUGGUACUGACUUCCAAGGGGACCUCACUAGAGCUGAGCUGAAGCCAGAGCCAUGGUGUGUUUGACAGUGCUCCUGGGAAGAAGCGAACAAACAUAUUACCUCCCAUCCCCAGAUAGGGAACCAGCACAGACCAAAGUAAGGAUAUUAUCAAAGUCCAAUUGGUGAACCAGGGUGUUUUAUUGGGAUUACUUACAGAGGCAGAAAUAACUCAAAGACAGCUGUAUCACCAAAGUCUACCCCAGCACGGGUGUAAGAUCAUGAAAAUUGGAAUCCUGGAGGACACUGCACAACCUUAGACAGUUGUGAGAUUGGAGAUUGGAGAGUGUUCUUUACAGGUAGUUAAAUUGGUCUGAGCCUCUUCCAUCCAGCUUAGCUGGACUCUGCUUCUUCCAGACAUCUCAGCUUCUCUAAGUGUCUCUCAGCAGCCCUUACUGCUUAUAUGUGUUUGGCAGAGGGAGGAAUCUAGUGAAUCUGGUCACUUUUAGGGAUUUCCUGGAGCUUUUGAGUUGUUUACUUCCUGAACUUCAUGACUUUGAUGCAUGACAGUGCAUAUCAUCUUCCCUUAGAACAUACUAUGUCUUCGUGAGCUUCCCUCCAAGAUGGAAGUUGGCUGCAGAGGAACUCACUGUGCUCUGGAGUCUUUAGAACUAUGAGCUUAAUAAACCUCCUUUCUUUAAAAACGUACCCAGCUUUGGACAUUUCAAUAUAGAAACAAAACAGAAGGUGACAUAUUCCCCCACUCCCUUCUACUUAUGCUUGUUUCCUCUUGAGAAUUUUGUUCAUGUUUUCAAAUAAAAAUGUAAACAUCAGUAAAUGGAGAGAGGCUGCCAUGUCACUAGUUGUGGUGCCAAGAAGACAUUUUCUUUGUUUUUAUUUCUCUCCUUGAAUUUGAAUGCAGUGCUAAUUCUUUGAAAGCAUGUUCUUAAUGUUUGGUACCACUUUUCAAAGAGCACGCAGCUGUGACGUGAAUGAGGAGAACCCUUCUCAGCUUAAGUCUGCUCUCAUGGGUUGGUCUUUUAGAGCUUUGAUGAAGUUGGGUUCUCUAAGGUUUGGUUUACUAUUUUCUAAGUGAGGUCAACUGAGAGCACUACAAGAGUUCAGUAACCAAAGAAAUGGAAUAUCACUGGUAGACUAGGAAACAAAACACAUAGAAUUGGCAGAUUUGAGAGUGAUUUACUUCAACUAGCUGUGAGAUCCCAUGCAGACCAUUUACCCCUCAUGAUGCCUGGUUUUCUUUUCAAUAAAACAGGGAUGUUGCCAGGUGGUGGGGGCACACACCUUUAAUUCCAGCACUCAGGGAGGCAGAGGCAGGCAGAUUUCUGUGAGUUCAAGGCCAGCCUGGUCUGCAGAGUGAGUUCCAGGACAGCCAGAGCUACACAGAGAAAUCCUAUCUUGAAAAAACAACCAAACAAAAAAAUCAAACAGGGAUAUUACAGUAACUAUACAGCAAGAAAGCACAUGUAGAAAUAAUUUAUAAACUUCAAGUCCUAUCUAGAUGUUAGUAGUGUUUGUUGAUGAUGAUGAGGGAGAUCAUAGUCAAGACAAAAAAUUGCAGGUAGUCACACACACCCAUAUAUAUAUAUGUAUGUAUAUAUGUAUGUAAUUUAUGUAAAUAUUAUUAUAUACUGCAGUGCUAGAAAUUGAAUUUCUGGCCUCAUGCACACUAAGAAAAUGCUCUGCUAUUGAUCUGCAUCUCCAAUCCCCAGGAGAGAGUUUAGAGGGUUUUUUUUUUUUAUUUAGUGUGUAUGUGUAGUUGUGCAUUUGGGAACACACAUUUUUUGAUAAUGUCUAUAUACUCCGCUUUAUUGAUACUUCAUGCUUUACUGGACUAUUUUUCCAUAUUCAGGCACCUGCAUGUUUACACAUCUUUGUUCACACUGUUUUGCUAUACUCAGUCGGUAACAAUGGGAUCAUUGUAAAUGUUUUAAAGAGGAAUAAGAAAGCUACUUUCACAUUAAGAAUUAGAAGUGUUAUUUGUUAUUUUUUCAUCAACAGAUUAACUUCUCAGUCCCAUUGAUAUCACUACAAAAGGAAUGGGUUAAUGAAUCUCACGGACAGUUUGAUAGUUUGUUAGUAUUAGUGUCUUCUUUAUCUUAAACACAUCAACCUGGUGAUUGUUUAUUGUAUUUAUACGCUAAUUGAGCAAUAGAUCAAAUUUGUGUGCUUCAAAAUUUAGUCCAAGGAAGGCAUACUGAUAGAAGCAUACAUGUUGAGGAUUAACGAGGCACAGACUAGGUUUAUUAAAUCUACCUCAUGGAUGAAGCACCUGGGCAACUACACUUAAAGGCUGAAGACCAAAGGAUAUUCUUCUACAGACUUAGAAGGGGAGCAGACGAGUGGCGACCAAGUGAGGCAUGCAGUCUUUACUGAGGCCAAAUGUAGUGAACAAUCUGUGGUCUGCUCACGUUCAUGAAGGUCUGUGUUGUAAUGUAUUCCUUCUCUCUUUCAGAGCAUUGGAGCAGCUCUCGGAGAGGUACUGCAGCCUCUGGUUUCUAGCUUCUGUCCCCAUGUCCUUUUGACUCGACAUUGCUAUGUCUCCUUCCUGCCCCCUAGCCCCGCCUCGGGCCCCAGACUCAACCUACCCUUAAUCAUAGAGGGUGGUGACCCACACUGGCUUGAAGAACUUAUUGAGUCUCUUGUAGUCUGUAAGCCUGGAGUUGUGUUGUGAACCCACAGGAUCCACUCAUGACAAACUUCUCGGAAAAUCACGGACCACCUGUUGAUACGCAGCACCCACAGGUCUCCAGCUAUUACCUCAUGCUGUGGCUGCCUGACAAGUGUCCACGCUCUCUGACCCCGUAAGAAAGCCCAUCUGAGCCCAGCAAUAAUUCCACCUCUGUUUUAUUCCUACUGAAGAGAAAAAUAACUUUGAUGGCAGCAACAAAUGUUUUACUUAUUAACCUUUCCGCUCCUGUCCCUGAUACAAAUAAACUAAUAUUCAGUCUAUCCUGCACAGGCCUAAGGCAGAGGGAAGAACAAAACCCUGUCAUCAUCCCUGUGUGGGGUGGAGGAUGGAUGUGGGCAGGGGAUGUCCGGGAGUGAUGUUUGUCCUCCUACUGCAAAGGAAGCAGCUACUACAAGAGUAUUAAAAAAAAUAGAGAGAGAGAGCAUGGACGUCAUGUUUGGGCAGAAGGUCCACCUCACUGCCUGGUUUCCUGUUCUUCCUGAGGAUGCCCAAUCUAUCUCUGCUUUGCUGUUUUCCAGCCACGGGAUGAGCACAUGUUAACCUGAAAGAAUUCCUAGUAGUUUCCCUCCCCUGUUAACUCCAUGUUACCCUGAACCUGUGAUCUCAGGAGCAAUUUUCUGGUUAUCUGGAGAUGGCUGUUAUUGAUUAUAGCUCCCCCACCGCUGACUGACUGAGAGUUAAUUAUCAUCAAAUACCUCUCUGUCCCGGGGUGAGCUAUGCCAGGUGUUUGGUGAAUAACACUAAUGUAAUUGAUUUUGCUGUUUAAUUUCUCACAGUCAUCAGCUAGUAAAAACCAUGGAUUGAUGCUUAAUUUUUUUAUAUAAGGCUUUUGACCUAUUUUAUUUAGUCUUUAAAUAUUUGUUUAUUAUAUGUGUGUGUACAUGUUUACAUGUACAUGAUGGAGAGCAAAUGCCCUGGUGCGCACGUGGAGGUCAGAGGACAGCUUGGUGGAGUUCGUUCUCUCCUUCCAUCUUUAGGUGGGUUCCAGGGGUCACACUUGGAACUCAUGUUGUCAGGCUUGCAUAGAGAGUUUCUUUGCCUGCAGACCCAUCUCAUUGGCCCCUCUAUUAGGUGUAAACUAUUUGCAAAUUUUAUUUUAUUACUUAGGUUCCUGGGCACAAAUCACAUAACCAUGCCCUUUGCCCAUUGGGGUAUUAAUGGUGUUCAAAUGUUUAUUUCAAUACAUUUCCACAUGCUUGGAGAAGGUUAACUCUAAGUUUUAUCUGUGCUUUGCUUUUAUUGUUAAUUAGUUGUACUGCUUUGAAAGUAAAAAUGUGUGUAAAAUAUCUGAUCAUUUUUACUUCACUUCCAAUUUCUCCUUUUGGUCCAGUUUUAAGAAAAUAGAACCACUUUGAAGAGGGACAGAAAAGCUCUGUUUUUCUUUUAGGAUCCCAUUCUUUACUCUGAGAAUUUACUCUAACAUUUCCUGCAUCCCAAAGCCUGUGUCUCCUAAGUCUCCUAAGUACAGUAUCUUCAUGAAGGUUGAAUGGUGCUCACUUGGCACUUUGUUCUUCAACUCCAUUUAUUCUGCAUUUAGCUGGUUUUUUGUUUUUGUUUUUGUUUUUUGUUUUUGCGAUUCAAAGGGUUUAUGAUUUGUAAAUCAUUCACACCCAGUUUCACUUAAGUAUUUACUUAUUGCUCACACAUUCACUCACUCAUUCGUUUUCUAGAGGUGGCACACAGACUCGAGGUUAGUACCUAGUGAUCUCUGCUCCCUGGUGCUGUGGGAUAAUGCUUUUGUACACUGGUUUAAUAAAAUGCCGAUUGGCCAGUGGCCAGGCAGGAAGCAUAGGCGGGAUAAGUGACAAGGAGAAUUCUGGGAAGAGGAAGGCUGAGUCAGGGGACACCAGCCUGCGGUCCAGAGAGCACCAUGUAAUGGCACACAGGUAAAGCCAUGGAACAUAUAGAUUAACAGAAAUGGGCUGAGUUUAAAUGUAAGAGCUAGUCAGUAGUUAGCCUGAGCUAAUGGCUGAGCAGUUCUAAUUAAUAUAAGACCCUGUGUGUUUGCUUGGUGGACACAAGUGGGAGAGAUUUGUCCCAACCGCUGGCCAGUCGGGACACAAGAAAGCUUCAGCUACACCCUGCUGCUCACCAAUGAGUGUGGACAGGAUCUAUGGCUUAUUUAUAGCCACAGAAUAUGAUAAAGGUGGCAGGGUGUCCACCUGUGACUGUGUUAUGUAAUGUAAGAGUCACAUGUUGCUGCCUCGGUAAACAGCAACACUGGACGUGCACAUAGUGAGCAGCUCAGCAGACUUGGCCGUCCGCCGAUAAGGAGCCUGGAUUCCUGCUCCUAGAGCCACAGUAAAUGAAUUCUGCCUAGCUCUUCAGUUAGUUUGGAAGAGAUUUCUUUCCCAGUCAAGCCUACAGACUAGAACAGUUGGAGCAACAUCUUGCCUGCAAUUUUUGCCUGAAGCAGAAGACUUGUCUGGGCCACAUCCUGACCUUAUGGAGACUGUAAAGGGGUAGUUUUGAACCACUAGGAUGUGAUCAUUUGUCUUUCAGAAUUAGAAAACAAACACUCAGUUCUAUACACACUAGUUGAGGGCUUGAAGUACCCCAAGAACUUAACAAAAUGUUAUCUGUACUUUACAGAUAAAGAAAUCGAGGCUCAGAAAUUGAACUCUGCCCCCUUUUUAGAACCAUCACAACAUAUUUUGUUUCAGUGUAUUUCAUUGUUUCAACUUAAGUAUGGUUUGAGAUACAUCUUCUGAAACACAAAUACAUUUAAGAAAAAUUCUACUUGACAUACAGUGGGCAUAAGAUGCUAAUUAUUCAUACAACGUGAUUGAGGAUUUGGAAUCGGAGAUUCACCUGCAAUAUUUGGAAUACCAGUGGAGAUCCAUAUCAACAUGGAAUUUAUACAGCAGCUGGUGCCAGUCACAGCUAAUGAUGAAAUUUCAGUUUAAUAAAAAGACCCCCAACUGAGCACAACCAUCUUGAAGAAAGUAUACUUAUCAAACAGCUUUCAAUCAGUUCAAGAGAGACACCUUAAUUGGGAAGAGGAAGAAUUGCACAGCAGUUUGUCACCAUGCCAACUUCAGAUCAAUAGCGUUGCCCUGCUCUUUGGUACACAUAGCCUUUCCUUACACCAUUAACUGUGUCUACAUCCUCUCCAUUGAGAUGAGAUCUUUGUUCAGUUGAGAGUAUGUGAUCAUGCCCCUUCUAAUUCACCCAUUUCAUUAUAAUACCCACGAAUAAAAUUUAGACUGUAAUCAUAAAGGUCAAUACUUUUUCUUUUAACUAAAAUUAUUUCUUGGUACUGGAAAUCAGUGCUUGUGACAUGUUGUAUUUUCAAAAGUUAUUUUGUCGAAAUAAAGCCACACAAACAACAUAACAUCGAGUCAAUUUCACUCUAAGAAGAGACACGUGAAUGAUGAUAAUCUGACUUCUGUAAGAUUAUGGUGGGGGAGGAAUGUAUGGAAUAAUUUAUUAACAGGAAGCAAAGAGAAGACGUUUUUGUUCUGGCAGGAUGAAGUUGUAAUACUAAAGGAUAAGACGAUGAAAUUGUCAAGUUUUAUUUUUAUUUUUAUUUUUUUUUAAGAAGGAAGUAGUCAGCCAGCUUAUUUAAGGACGACUGAUUUCAGUGUCGCAGUAGAGAACACUACGGGGAGGCUAGACAGGUGGAGGGGGCAAAGACCGCAGCAGAGAAGAAGCCUGAUCGGUUAAUGCCCAAGAAGGCACCUUCCAUAGUGCCCUUGGCUCAUCUCAGUUGCAGCCUCCUGCUGCCUCCCUCUUCCCUCCUCUCUCUCUCUCUCUUGUUCCGUUGUCCACCGCUUUCUCUUCUUCCCUCCCCAACUCCUUUCUGUUGCCUGUAUUUGUUUAUAGAAAUAUAAACUUAGAAACAGAAAUACUGAACUUCUAUAUAAGAUUUAUUUUGAAAAACAGUUUCCGCUAUUGAAAUAGAGUUUGGAAAUCACUGAAGUCAACAAUUGCACUGGACCAAACAAUUGCAAUUGCAAGUCCUUUCAUGCUUUGAUAUUGUUAGGAUUUCAAGAUCCAGGAAAACACAGAAAGGGAGACUGAAAACCUUUUUUUUU